CGGGGGCGCUUUCCAUGCAGUUCGAGCGAGACCAGGCCUUCGGGCCUGGGGAAAGCGGCGAACGGGUGAGUAACACGUGAGUAACCUGCCCUCGGCACCGGGAUAGCCCGGGGAAACCCGGAUUAAUACCGGAUGGCCAUUCGAGCUCUCGAGCUGGUUGGAAAAGGUAGCUUCGGCCUCCGGCCGAGGAUGGGUCCGCGGCGGAUUAGCUUGUUGGUGGGGUAACGGCCUACCAAGGCUCCGAUCCGUAGCUGGUCUGAGAGGACGAUCAGCCACACUGGGACUGAGACACGGCCCAGACUCCUACGGGAGGCAGCAGUGGGGAAUCUUGCGCAAUGGGCGAAAGCCUGACGCAGCGACGCCGCGUGAGGGAAGAAGGCCUUCGGGUUGUAAACCUCUUUUAAGAGGGAAGAAGCCACUCGGGUGAAUAGCCCAGAGGGUGACGGUACCUCUAGAAUAAGCCCCGGCUAACUACGUGCC
rnacentral:rRNA from 1 species